AGAUUGAACGCUGGCGGCAUGCCUUACACAUGCGAGUCGAACGGCAGCACGGGAGCAAUCCUGGUGGCGAGUGGCGAACGGGUGAGUAAUAUAUCGGAACGUGUCCAGUCGUGGGGGAUAACGUAGAGAAAUUUACGCUAAUACCGCAUACGAUCCAAGGAUGAAAGCGGGGGACCGUAAGGCCUCGCGCGACUGGAGCGGCUGAUAUCAGAUUAGCUUGUUGGUGAGGUAAAAGCUCACCAAGGCGACGAUCUGUAGCUGGUUUGAGAGAACGACCAGCCACACUGGGACUGAGACACGGCCCAGACUCCUACGGGAGGCAGCAGUGGGGAAUAUUGGACAAUGGGCGAAAAGCCUGAUCCAGCCAUGCCGCGUGUGUGAAGAAGGUCUUCGGAUUGUAAAAGCACUUUAAGUUGGAGGAAAGGGCAUUAAACCUAAUACGUUAAGUGUUUUGACGUUACCGACAGAAUAAGCACCGGCUAAACUCUGUGCCAGCACG
rnacentral:rRNA from 1 species